AAGACAGCUGGAUGAUAGCCGGGCUCGAAGACUCUGCUUGACUAGCUGAGAGGAGGUGCAUGGCCGUCGUCAGUUCGUACUGUGAAGCAUCCUGUUAAGUCAGGCAACGAGCGAGACCCACGCCAACAGUUGCCAGCAUGUCCUCCGGGAUGAUGGGGACACUGUUGGGACCGCCUCUGCUAAAGAGGAGGAAGGAAUGGGCAACGGUAGGUCAGCAUGCCCCGAAUUAUCCGGGCUACACGCGGGCUACAAUGGUCAGGACAAUGGGUAUCAACACCGAAAGGUGAAGGCAAUCUCCUAAACCUGUCCUUAGUUCGGAUUGUGGGCUGCAACUCGCCCACAUGAAGCUGGAAUCUGUAGUAAUCGCGUCUCAACAUGGCGCGGUGAAUAUGUCCCUGCUCCUU
rnacentral:rRNA from 1 species